UACGUAGGGUGCGAGCGUUAAUCGGAAUUAUUGGGCGUAAAGCGCGCGCAGGUGGUUCUUUAAGUCUGAUGUGAAAGCCCACGGCUCAACCGUGGAGGGUCAUUGGAAACUGGGGAACUUGAGUGCAGAAGAGGAUAGUGGAAUUCCAAGUGUAGCGGUGAAAUGCGUAGAGAUUUGGAGGAACACCAGUGGCGAAGGCGACUAUCUGGUCUGUAACUGACACUGAGGCGCGAAAGCGUGGGGAGCAAACAGG
rnacentral:rRNA from 1 species